rnacentral:rRNA from 1 species
GACGAACGCUGGCGGCGUGCCUAAUACAUGCAAGUCGAGCGGACGGAUGGGAGCUUGCUCCCAGACCGUCAGCGGCGGACGGGUGAGUAACACGUGGGCAACCUGCCUGUAAGACUGGGAUAACUCCGGGAAACCGGGGCUAAUACCGGAUAACUCUUUCCCUCACAUGAGGGAAAGCUGAAAGAUGGCAUCUCGCUAUCACUUACACAUGGGCUCGCGGUGCAUUGGCUAGUUGGUGGGGUAACGGCUCACCAAGGCGGCGAUGCGUAGCCGACCUGAGAGGGUGAUCGGCCACACUGGGACUGGGACACGGCCCAGACUCCUACGGGAGGCAGCAGUAGGGAAUCUUCCGCAAUGGACGAAAGUCUGACGGAGCAACGCCGCGUGAGUGAUGAAGGUUUUCGGAUCGUAAAACUCUGUUGUCAGGGAAGAACAAGUACCGGAGUAACUGCCGGUACCUUGACGGUACCUGGCCAGAAAGCCACGGCUAACUACGUG